rnacentral:rRNA from 1 species
UACGUAGGGGGCAAGCGUUGUCCGGAUUUAUUGGGCGUAAAGAGCGUGUAGGCGGCCUGGUAGGUCAGCUGUGAAAACUCGAGGCUCAACCUCGAGACGCCGGUUGAAACCAUCAGGCUAGAGUCCGGAAGAGGAGAGUGGAAUUCCCGGUGUAGCGGUGAAAUGCGCAGAUAUCGGGAGGAACACCUAUGGCGAAGGCAGCUCGCUGGGACGUUACUGACGCUGAGACGCGAAAGCGUGGGGAGCAAACAGG